ACUCCUUAUCAAAUCUGCUUUACUUGAAUUUAUCAAAUUUAUUCAUAGUCUAAUAGAAAAGAAUUUCAACUCUCGUUUCACGAGAAUUAGGAAGUUAUUUCCAGAGUUUGAUGUUGGUGAGUUCCUGUAUCCCUGUGCCACUUUUUAGCAUUUUCUACAGUGCGCACGGCUUCUUAUCCUUCACCAUCCCAUUCCUCUUCUCUUUCCCUGCCACUGAACCCAAACAAACAAGCGCUGUCGUUGGAUCUCACACAACCCGAUUCUCGUGCUUUUAUGGAUUUGCGUCGCCAAGAGAGUUUGUGAUUUUCAUCUUGCGAAGCGCCUUGCGGAUCUGUGAUCGGAAUACAGGAUCGUUUCAAUGGCUGGGAGUAACGAGCUUAACCCCAACGAUUCUAAGCUGGGUAAGAAUCAUGGAAGUAGAGAAGGAAAAUACCACAUCAACUAUUACUGCAGAACCCUCUGUAUCUGCCUCUGAUGUAGACAGUCGCUCUUGCUUCACUUUCAACUUGAAGAUUGCUUAAGAGACAUCAACAACUCUAACAUUCAACUUGAGGGCACGUACUCCCUAAUUCAGCUAAAGGGCCACUGAAAAUUAUCGAAACGUACUACCAGGCAGCUGUGUCUCCAGCAAAACCUCUAGAAAGCCCGGAUGAAGAGGUCGAUGAUCCCCUGUACCUGAUGACAUUGACCAUCCCACAACUGUUUUUGAAGCCGCUCCAAGUUAUGUGGGAUGCUACCAUAUUCGGGGUGUUUAAUCAAAACUUCCCGUUGUAUAUAAAGCACGAAGAUCUCUCUGAAAUUGCACAUGGUGGUCAAUGUCUCAGCAUAUCAGUUAUACAGUUGUGGAUUCUCCAUCUGACUGAGACAAGUGUGCGAGCGGGGAAUUCUGAUGUGUAUGGAUUCCUCGAGCCACAGUCCAUUCAGAGAUCUGGACAAUCACAAUUUGAAUCCGAAAGUUACAUCAAGAGUUGGAUACAGAGUUCAAAACGAGAUGUUUACCUUGGAGCCUAUCUGAAUAGUGGACACUGGCAAAUGGUCGUCAUUCUACCUAAGGAAAACCUAGUUGUCUGGUUUUGUUC